GACGAACGCUGGUUGCGUGCUUAACACAUGCAAGUCGAACGGAAAGGCCCUGCUUUUGUGGGGUGCUCGAGUGGCGAACGGGUGAGUAACACGUGAGUAACCUGCCCUUGACUUUGGGAUAACUUCAGGAAACUGGGGCUAAUACCGGAUAGGAGCUCCUGCUGCAUGGUGGGGGUUGGAAAGUUUCGGCGGUUGGGGAUGGACUCGCGGCUUAUCAGCUUGUUGGUGGGGUAGUGGCUUACCAAGGCUUUGACGGGUAGCCGGCCUGAGAGGGUGACCGGCCACAUUGGGACUGAGAUACGGCCCAGACUCCUACGGGAGGCAGCAGUGGGGAAUAUUGCACAAUGGGCGGAAGCCUGAUGCAGCAACGCCGCGUGCGGGAUGACGGCCUUCGGGUUGUAAACCGCUUUCGCCUGUGACGAAGCGUGAGUGACGGUAAUGGGUAAAGAAGCACCGGCUAACUACGUGCCAGCAGCCGCGGUGAUACGUAGGGUGCGAGCGUUGUCCGGAUUUAUUGGGCGUAAAGGGCUCGUAGGUGGUUGAUCGCGUCGGAAGUGUAAUCUUGGGGCUUAACCCUGAGCGUGCUUUCGAUACGGGUUGACUUGAGGAAGGUAGGGGAGAAUGGAAUUCCUGGUGGAGCGGUGGAAUGCGCAGAUAUCAGGAGGAACACCAGUGGCGAAGGCGGUUCUCUGGGCCUUUCCUGACGCUGAGGAGCGAGAGCGUGGGGAGCGAACAGGCUUAGAUACCCUGGUAGUCCACGCUGUAAACGGUGGGUACUAGGUGUGGGGUCCAUUCCACGGGUUCCGUGCCGUAGCUAACGCUUUAAGUACCCCGCCUGGGGAGUACGGCCGCAAGGCUAAAACUCAAAGGAAUUGACGGGGCCCCGCACAAGCGGCGGAGCAUGCGGAUUAAUUCGAUGCAACGCGUAGAGCCUUACCUGGGUUUGACAUGGAUCGGGAGUGCUCAGAGAUGGGUGUGCCUCUUUUGGGGUCGGUUCACAGGUGGUGCAUGGCUGUCGUCAGCUCGUGUCGUGAGAUGUUGGGUUAAGUCCCGCAACGAGCGCAACCCUUGUUCACUGUUGCCAGCACGUUAUGGUGGGGACUCAGUGGAGACCGCCGGGGUCAACUCGGAGGAAGGUGGGGAUGACGUCAAGUCAUCAUGCCCCUUAUGUCCAGGGCUUCACGCAUGCUACAAUGGCUGGUACAGAGAGUGGCGAGCCUGUGAGGGUGAGCGAAUCUCGGAAAGCCGGUCUCAGUUCGGAUUGGGGUCUGCAACUCGACCUCAUGAAGUCGGAGUCGCUAGUAAUCGCAGAUCAGCAACGCUGCGGUGAAUACGUUCCCGGGGCU
rnacentral:rRNA from 1 species